rnacentral:lncRNA from 1 species
GAAUACAAAAAGCAAUGAGGUUGACUCAUUUCUUGUCCACAAAUAGGUGAGAGUACAUCCAUCAACUAUUUAUAUCUAUUUUGUUAGUAUAAAUAGUGACCCAAAAUUUCUUGUCCAUAAAUAGGUGAGAGUACAUCCAUCAACUAUUUAUAUCUAUUUUGUUAGUAUAAAUAGUGACCCAAAAUCUUCUUUUUCCUUUUGAAGCCUCAGCGCUGUAAAUGUUUAGACGACCAACGCAUCGACAGAUGCAUUUUCAUGGUCUAUGUUUACAAUAGUCUGAUGUUUACUCCGGGCAUUGCCUCAACACGUUUUCCUUUUGAAGUCUUA